AUUGAACGCUGGCGGCAGGCCUAACACAUGCAAGUCGAGCGGAUGAAGGGAGCUUGCUCCUGGAUUCAGCGGCGGACGGGUGAGUAAUGCCUAGGAAUCUGCCUGGUAGUGGGGGCUAACGUCCGGAAACGGGCGCUAAUACCGCAUACGUCCUGAGGGAGAAAGUGGGGGAUCUUCGGACAUCACGCUAUCAGAUGAGCCUAGGUCGGAUUAGCUAGUUGGUGGGGUAAAGGCCUACCAAGGCGACGAUCCGUAACUGGUCUGAGAGGAUGAUCAGUCACACUGGAACUGAGACACGGUCCAGACUCCUACGGGAGGCAGCAGUGGGGAAUAUUGGACAAUGGGCGAAAGCCUGAUCCAGCCAUGCCGCGUGUGUGAAGAAGGUCUUCGGAUUGUAAAGCACUUUAAGUUGGGAGGAAGGACAGUAAGUUAAUACCUUGCUGUUUUGACGUUACCAACAGAAUAAGCACCGGCUAACUUCGUG
rnacentral:rRNA from 1 species